CGAGCCCUCAUCCACUCCACUCUUCUUCUCUCGCGCCCGACGCCGGCCCUAACCGCCGGCCGGCGGUUUCUUCCUCCCGAGCCGCACACCCGAAGACCUUUUCUUCAUCUUCUUCUCCACCCGAGCCGAAGCUUUCCCCUGCCCUAAAAUCGCCGAAAGCUUGCUCUAUGCCCACUGGUGCCGACGCCGAGCACUGCCGCUCUUCCUCAGCCCUAGCCGCCGCACGGGACAUUGCCGGCCACCAGGACCGACCCAGGCCGCUGUCGCCGUGGGGAUCCCAGCGCCGCCGACGCCCUUCUCCCGUUUCUCUCUGCCCUAGUUUUGCACAGUGUCACCGCUACCCCAACCGGCAACCGGCUGUCCUCCCUCUGCCGACGCCGACUCCUCCACUGUGCAGUGCCUAGCCGACUCCUCCACUGUGCAGUGCCUAGACGACUCCUUCCUUUGUCCUAGGUUCCCUCUUGUUGCUGGAUCCGAACCCUAACUCCUCUGGGUUGGGUUGUGGUCAGCCUACCCGACUGCAGCUUCUCCGGAUCUUGGCAGUAAGUUCUAUAGGAUUUGAGCAGUGUUGAGGCAUCAGGGAAUAUGGGUAAGGUUGGUGUUAAGUUAAUUACUGUUGAGGUGAGUAUGGGAAGAUGAACUUGAUGAUUUCGAUGGUUUGAGCUAUUGGUAUUACUUUUGUUAUGUAAGCAUAGGGUUAAUUAUAUUAAAUCCUGUGUAGACCUUAUAUGGUGAUUUCCUUUGCAGACAUUGUUGGAGAAAGCCCUAAUCGCUGUGAUCUUCCUUUUGUGUGAUCCAGAGGACCUUGACGCGAGACAAGUUUCUUAACGUCCGGAUUUGGACUGAUUGGAUCUUUCCUAUU